rnacentral:rRNA from 2 species
UGGUGGGUAGUUUGACUGGGGCGGUCUCCUCCUAAAGAGUAACGGAGGAGCACGAAGGUUGGCUAAUCCUGGUCGGACAUCAGGAGGUUAGUGCAAUGGCAUAAGCCAGCUUGACUGCGAGCGUGACGGCGCGAGCAGGUGCGAAAGCAGGUCAUAGUGAUCCGGUGGUUCUGAAUGGAAGGGCCAUCGCUCAACGGAUAAAAGGUACUCCGGGGAUAACAGGCUGAUACCGCCCAAGAGUUCAUAUCGACGGCGGUGUUUGGCACCUCGAUGUCGGCUCAUCACAUCCUGGGGCUGAAGUAGGUCCCAAGGGUAUGGCUGUUCGCCAUUUAAAGUGGUACGCGAGCUGGGUUUAGAACGUCGUGAGACAGUUCGGUCCCUAUCUGCCGUGGGCGCUGGAGAACUGAGGGGGGCUGCUCCUAGUACGAGAGGACCGGAGUGGACGCAUCACUGGUGUUCGGGUUGUCAUGCCAAUGGCACUGCCCGGUAGCUAAAUGCGGAAGAGAUAAGUGCUGAAAGCAUCUAAGCACGAAACUUGCCCCGAGAUGAGUUCUCCCUGAGACUUUAGGUCUCCUGAAGGAACGUUGAAGACGACGACGUUGAUAGGCCGGGUGU